GACGAACGCUGGCGGCGUGCCUAAUACAUGCAAGUCGAGGGGCAGCAGGGAUAGCAAUAUUCGCUGGCGACCGGCGCACGGGUGCGUAACACGUAUACAAUCUGCCUUUUACAGGGGGAUAGCCUUUCGAAAGAGAGAUUAAUACCCCAUAAUAGUUGACCGGGCAUCUGGUUGAUUUGAAAGCUCCGGCGGUAAGAGAUGAGUAUGCGCCUGAUUAGCUAGUAGGUGAGGUAACGGCUCACCUAGGCUACGAUCAGUAGGGGAUCUGAGAGGACUAACCCCCACACGGAUACUGAGACACGGAUCCGACUCCUACGGGAGGCAGCAGUAAGGAAUAUUGGACAAUGCCCGCAAGGGUGAUCCAGCCAUGCCGCGUGCAGGAAGAAGGCCCUAUGGGUCGUAAACUGCUUUUACACCGGAGAAAACCUCCCUCGUGAGGGGAGCUGAUAGUAUGGUGAGAAUAAGCAUCGGCUAACUUCGUGCCAGCA
rnacentral:rRNA from 1 species